GUCACUGGAAACUCUAUUAACCAACCUCACCUCUCCCUCUCCCUCUCCCACAUCCUCUCAACUAGUGCUCAUGGGAGCACAUCAUUUUGUCUCCAUCAAGCUCACGUCCAAGAACUUUCUGUUCUGGCAUGCUCAGAUACGGCCCUUCCUCAAGGGUCAGAAAAUUUUUUGCCAUCUCGAUGGCUCUAAAGCACGGCCCACUGAGGCAACCGCUGCUUCCAACUUGGACGAUCAGGACUCCCUGAUUAUGGGUCUUCUUAUAUCCUCCCUCUCCGAUGAAGCGCUCCCUCUCAUCGUUGACAAGGAAACUAGCAAAGACAUCUGGGACUCUCUAUGUUCUGCUUAUGGUUCUGCUUCUAAAACUAGAAUCAUGUAUCUCAAUCUUGGCCUUCAAGACCUCUCUUAGAAGACUCAAUGAAUCCAUGACCAGCCUUAUGCAAUGAGCCAAGUCCCUCUCUGAUGAGCUUGCUGCUGCGGGGUCUCCUAUAAAACAAUCCGACCUCUGUCUUCACAUUCUUUGCGCUCUUCACAAAGAUCUUCGCGACAUUGUUCCAACGCUCCUUGCUCGUUUUGAGCUGCUAGCCUAUUCUGAUCUUCUUGGCGUUCUUCUCAGCCGCAAGUUCAUGAAUAAGGCCUCUGCUCGUAACACAUUAGAGACCGAUCCUCCUGCCCCUAUAGACACUCCAUCAUCUAACACUGCUCAGCGUGAUGCCUCUUCCACCACUUCUAACUCUCAAUAUGGGAAAGGUGGUCGUGGUGGUCACGAUGGGCAUGGACGAGUUGGUCGUGGUGGUUGUGGCAGCCACUUUCCACAACUAGGCAUGCACGUGUGGUGCUCCAUCUACAACUAUACAAACCACAAUGCCAACACCUGUUAUUACUGACCCCUAUCCAACCUGGCUACCCCUCCCCUCAACCUUAUCUUGGCUUUAAUCCCAACCCUCGACCAGUGGCUCACUUCACAACCAACCGUCCUCUUCUUCCCACACCCACCUACCCACCUUACUUCAACCCAUCUGCCGCUCAGACUUGGUACCCUGAUACUGGUGCAACCCAUCACGUCACUCCUGACAUUCAAUCUCUCACAUCCUGUGACGGGUACAAUGGUAACCACCAACUUCAUGUGGGUAAUGGUUAGGGACUCUCUAUCAGUAAUAUUGGUUCCUCUUCUCUCCCUUCUCUCUCCCCCUCUCGUUCUUUUAAUUUAUGUGAUGUCUUGCAUGUUCCCUCUAUCACAAAACCUCUCCUUUUUGUUCAGCGAUUUGCUCGUGACAAUAAAGUCUUUUUUGAACUUCACCCUUCUCACUUCUUUGUCAAGGAUCAGGUAACCAAGAAGAUUCUGCUUUCCAGACCAAGUAAAGGGAGUCUCUAUACCCUAUCUUCUCCGUCUUCUUCUCCAAUUGCCAAUAUCACUGAGUGCACUUCCAUCAAUGGUUGGCAUCAACGGCUUGGUCACCCUCACUCUGGUCUUUUCAAGUUCAUGCAUUUGGAUGGAAAGGAAUGCUAGAAGACAUGAUGGAAUCUCAAAGUAUAUGGAGCGCUGCUUUGCCAUAACCAGAAGUGAAAUCUCUUCGUAGUCCUUGGUUUACUCAGGGAAGUUGAUCUCCCUUUCGGAUCUGCUGAGUGCUAGAAGGCUGGGAUUUUCAGGUGUUCAGGGUAGGCCUAGUGAAAUUUUUGAAAUUUUCUGGUGUCGGCCCCCAAGAGGAUGGUGGAAGGUAAACACAGAUUGGUGUUCUAUUGGGAAUCCAAGUGUCUCUGGAGCUGGAGGCGUAUUUUGCAAUGAUAAAGGGGAGGUGAUGGCAAAUUUCAGGAUUUCCCUUAGAAUUCAUUCAAACUUUGUGGCAAAAUUUAUGGUUGUGAUUUCAGGGAUUGAACUUGCUGAAAAAUUGGGGGUGCAAAGGCUGUGGAUUGAAUGUGAUUCAGUCGUAGUGGUUACUUUGGUUCAGAAAA